rnacentral:snoRNA from 1 species
ACUGAGGCUAGAGUCAUGCUUGGGUGUCGGCUAUUGCCUUAGUGUGUUAGAGUCCUCAAAUAACUGCUGACCUUAUGCACUGGCUGUGGGCCUUGUGGCACAGUUAGUCACCAGGUUAGUGACAUGC